GAGUUUGAUCAUGGCUCAGGAUGAACGCUGGCUACAGGCUUAACACAUGCAAGUCGAGGGGAAACGACGGGGAAGCUUGCUUCCCCGGGCGUCGACCGGCGCACGGGUGAGUAACGCGUAUCCAACCUGCCUCUGACUGAGGGAUAACCCGUCGAAAGUCGGCCUAGUACCUCAUGGCAUCGUCUGCGGGCAUCCAACGACGAUUAAAGAUUUCAUCGGUCAGGGAUGGGGAUGCGUCUGAUUAGCUUGUUGGCGGGGUAACGGCCCACCAAGGCUACGAUCAGUAGGGGUUCUGAGAGGAAGGUCCCCCACAUUGGAACUGAGACACGGUCCAAACUCCUACGGGAGGCAGCAGUGAGGAAUAUUGGGUCAUGGGCGAGAGCCUGAACCAGCCAAGUAGCGUGCAGGAUGACGGCCCUAUGGGUUUGUAAACUGCUUUAUGCCGGGGAUAAAGUGAGGGACGUGUCCUUCAUUGCAGGUACCGCAUGAAUAAGGACCGGCUAAUUCCGUGCCAGCAGCCGCGGUAAUACGGAAGGUCCGGGCGUUAUCCGGAUUNAUUGGGUUAAAGGGAGCGUAGGCCGUGGAUUAAGCGUGUUGUGAAAUGCAGGUGCUCAACGUCUGCACUGCAGCGCGAACUGGUCCACUUGAGUGUGCGCAACGCAGGCGGAAUUCGUCGUGUAGCGGUGAAAUGCUUAGAUAUGACGAAGAACUCCGAUUGCGAAGGCAGCUUGCGGGAGCACAACUGACGCUGAAGCUCGAAAGUGCGGGUAUCGAACAGGAUUAGAUACCCUGGUAGUCCGCACGGUAAACGAUGGAUGCCCGUUGUCAGGCUGUUUCAGCCUGGUGACCAAGCGAAAGCAUUAAGCAUCCCACCUGGGGAGUACGCCGGCAACGGUGAAACUCAAAGGAAUUGACGGGGGCCCGCACAAGCGGAGGAACAUGUGGUUUAAUUCGAUGAUACGCGAGGAACCUUACCCGGGCUUGAAUUGCAGACGAAGGCUUCAGAGAUGAAGCGGCCCUUCGGGGCGUCUGUGAAGGUGCUGCAUGGUUGUCGUCAGCUCGUGCCGUGAGGUGUCGGCUUAAGUGCCAUAACGAGCGCAACCCCUUUCUUCAGUUGCCAUCAGGUGAUGCUGGGCACUCUGGAGACACUGCCACCGCAAGGUGUGAGGAAGGUGGGGAUGACGUCAAAUCAGCACGGCCCUUACGUCCGGGGCUACACACGUGUUACAAUGGCCGGUACAGAGAGUUGAUUUUGUGCAAACACGAUCUAAUCCUUAAAUCCGGUCCCAGUUCGGACUGGGGUCUGCGACCCGACCCCACGAAGCUGGAUUCGCUAGUAAUCGCGCAUCUGCCUUGGCGCGGUGAAAUACGUUUCCCGGGCCUUGUACCCACCGCCCGUCAAG
rnacentral:rRNA from 1 species